ACGAACGCUGGCGGCGUGCUUAACACAUGCAAGUCGAACGGUGAACGAGGGAGCUUGCUCCCUCCGGAUCAGUGGCGAACGGGUGAGUAACACGUGAGCAAUCUGCCCCGAACUCUGGGAUAAGCGUUGGAAACGACGUCUAAUACCGGAUACGACGCGGGAGGGCAUCCUCUCCGCGUGGAAAGAACUUCGGUUCGGGAUGAGCUCGCGGCCUAUCAGCUUGUUGGUGAGGUAACGGCUCACCAAGGCGACGACGGGUAGCCGGCCUGAGAGGGUGACCGGCCACACUGGGACUGAGACACGGCCCAGACUCCUACGGGAGGCAGCAGUGGGGAAUAUUGCACAAUGGGCGCAAGCCUGAUGCAGCAACGCCGCGUGAGGGACGGCGGCCUUCGGGUUGUAAACCUCUUUUAGCAGGGAAGAAGCGAAAGUGACGGUACCUGCAGAAAAAGCACCGGCUAACUACGUG
rnacentral:rRNA from 1 species